CCUACGGGAGGCAGCAGUGAGGAAUAUUGGUCAAUGGACGAGAGUCUGAACCAGCCAAGUAGCGUGAAGGAUGACUGCCCUAUGGGUUGUAAACUUCUUUUAUAUGGGAAUAAAACGUUCCACGUGUGGGAUUUUGUAUGUACCAUAUGAAUAAAGAUCGGCUAACUCCGUGCCAGCAGCCGCGGUAAUACGGAGGAUCCGAGCGUUAUCCGGAUUUAUUGGGUUUAAAGGGAGCGUAGGUGGAUUGUUAAGUCAGUUGUGAAAGUUUGCGGCUCAACCGUAAAAUUGCAGUUGAAACUGGCAGUCUUGAGUACAGUAGAGGUGGGCGGAAUUCGUGGUGUAGCGGUGAAAUGCUUAGAUAUCACGAAGAACUCCGAUUGCGAAGGCAGUUCACUGGACUGCAACUGACACUGAGGCUCGAAAGUGUGGGUAUCAAACAGGAUUAGAUACCCGAGUAGUC
rnacentral:rRNA from 1 species